UACGGACCGUCCGAACGUUAUUCGGAUUCACUGGGCUUAAAGGGUACGUAGGCGGCUGGGAAAGUUGGGUGUGAAAGCCCUCGGCUCAACCGAGGAAUUACGCCCAAAACUUCCUGGCUUGAGGGAGAUAGAGGUGAGCGGAACUAAUGGUGGAGCGGUGAAAUGCGUUGAUAUCAUUAGGAACACCUGUGGCGAAAGCUGCUCACUGGGUCUUUUCUGACGCUGAGGCACGAAAGCUAGGGGAGCGAACGGG
rnacentral:misc_RNA from 1 species